UAGGGAAUUGUUCGCAAUGGGCGCAAGCCUGACGACGCAACGCCGCGUGGAGGAUGAAGACCUUCGGGUCGUAAACUCCUUUCGACCGAGAUGAAUACCCACCGACCUAAUACGUUGGUGGGCUGACAGUAUCGAGGGAAGAAGCCCCGGCUAACUCCGUGCCAGCAGCCGCGGUAAUACGGGGGGGGCAAGCGUUGUUCGGAAUUACUGGGCGUAAAGGGUUCGUAGGUGGCCUGCUAAGUCACACGUGAAAUCCCUCAGCUUAACUGGGGAACUGCGUGUGAGACUGGCGGGCUUGAGUGCAGGAGAGGAACGCGGAAUUCCAGGUGUAGCGGUGAAAUGCGUAGAUAUCUGGAGGAACACCGGUGGCGAAGGCGGCGUUCUGGACUGCUACUGACACUGAGGAACGAAAGCCAGGGGAGCAAACGGG
rnacentral:rRNA from 1 species